CUACGGGAGGCAGCAGUGAGGAAUAUUGGGCAAUGGACGAAAGUCUGACCCAGCCAUGCCGCGUGCAGGAUGACGGCCCUAUGGGUUGUAAACUGCUUUUGUACAAGAAGAAACAUUUGUUCGUGAACAAACUUGACGGUAUUGUACGAAUAAGCAUCGGCUAACUCCGUGCCAGCAGCCGCGGUAAUACGGAGGAUGCAAGCGUUAUCCGGAUUUAUUGGGUUUGAAGGGUGCGUAGGCGGGACGGUAAGUCAGAGGUGAAAUCUUCCAGCUUAACUGGGAAACUGCCUUUGAUACUGUCGUCCUUGAGUAUAGUUGAGGUGGGCGGAAUGUGUAAUGUAGCGGUGAAAUGCAUAGAUAUUACACAGAACACCAAUUGCGAAGGCAGCUCGCUAAACUAUUACUGACGCUGAGGCACGAAAGCGUGGGGAGCGAACAGGAUUAGAUACCCUGGUAGUCCACGCUGUAAACUAUGAAUACUCGAUGUGUGCGACACACUGUACGCGUCUGAGCGAAAGCAUUAAGUAUUCCACCUGGGGAGUACGGUCGCAAGAUUGAAACUCAAAUGAAUUGACGG
rnacentral:rRNA from 1 species